AUGCAGCAGCCCAGGACAAAGCCUGACUGCAAAACACUGCAUGGAGUUUACAGCGUGUAUUACUGUAGCCAGCUCUUGUCCUGGUCAACAGGAUGCUUCUGCCCACACUAGAUCCAAGACAUAGUGCAGUCCCUGUGGCUUUAAAUUUCAUGUUCCAUGCUGAGCCUGACAGUAAAGGGUAAUUAAUUAGCACAGGGCUGGUUACACUUUAAUUAAGCAUUAGCUUCAGCUGUGCUUGGGGGAUUGCUUGUUGUACCGGCUGUACUGUGAGUUGGGCUGAGACCACCAGCUCUGGGAUGCAUAAACAGCUCACAGGCACGAGCUGGUCAUGGGAACCACUUAGCUGAGAUGCUGAAUGGCCACAGCAUUGAGUGGUACUCAAGAGAUAAACAUUUCAUUAUGUGCAAGAGAUGCAGUAAAGGACAUGAGCAAGAUCAAGACACAAUCAGGUAUCUUCUCCCUGCUGCUGACUUCUGCUUAAGAGAGGAAACCAGUGAAAGGCCUCUCUCUAGGAGCAUGUGAGACCUGAGUGCCAAUAAAACCUGCUAAAAGCCCCAAGAGAAUGUUUAAGGUUGCAUUCUGGAUUUUAGCAUCCAUCUUCUGGUUUACUGAGAAGGUAAAAGAUGUGCAGGAAGCAUAUGGCUGAUGUACUGCUCUGCAAGAUGCUGUGACUAGAAGCGCUGAAACACGAGACGCUGACUCAAAGGUGAAUUUAUACAUACCCCAUUAUAUUUGUUUGGGUUGGUUCCAAGUGGUGGUGGAAUGAAUUUGAAAAGCUGCUUUUUCUCUCUGCAGGAAAGCACAAAAACAUCCAAACCCCAUCUUCAACUUCUUGCCUUCCUUUGGCGUUGGCAAGUACUCAAUUUUUCCAGUUAGAAAUAGAAAACUUCCUGGUGCUGUAAUUUGUGCAGCACAGAACUCUUGCUAUGCAGGGAAAUAUUCAGCUUCCUCUCUGAACUUGCCCAUGGGUUUCAUGACAAGAGGAGCAGUUUGAAUGUGCUGGUGCUCCCAUCCUGCUGGACACCCCACCGGAUAGCUAUGGGAAGCUUGCAAGCAUAAAUCUAACUCUCCCUAGCUGUUUGCCAGCAGUGUGCAGGUCUAGACUGCCUGAAUAAUUCAGAGAGGUUCUAAGUUACUCUCACUGCAAAUGGCCUUGAAAAGGAAAGCAAGUGGUUGGUUUGGUGGGGCCCCAGAAUGUCCCAGCUGUGUCCCUGAGCGUGUCUCCACUCCCUUCCUCUCUGCCAGCAGGGGAACACAAGGCUUCCUUUGCACGUUUCUGCUCAAUUUUGUGUUCUGUUAGCAAGGAGAGGUUUAUUUCAGUCUCUCAGAGGAGGUCACUGAUGCCCAGAGGAAGGACACUGUCCUUUGAGGCUGUACUGGACUUAUUGCAUUAACCCUGUGUCCCUCUGGAAAACUCGCUUGAAGAAAGCCAGCAGCAGGUCAGGUCCCUCGUCACAGUUGU